CCAGUCCACAUGCCUGUGCUACUUGUUCAAUGGUGGUCAGCAGCCUGCAGAGUGACAUAACUCACUAUCCACUGUCUAAAAGCUGAAUCACAGCCACCUUGUGCUUUAUAGAUAUUUGAACAAAACUGUAAAAGACUUCCCUGUGACUACGGAUUCUCUUCGCUUUAGCAUUCCUAAAUUAAGAUGCACCCGGACCCCUGGUUCCUCCAGCACAGGCCCAGACAUUUCAAUUGCUGACUUCAAACUCACUCAUGAAAAGAUGAAACCAUUCCUUAAAAGGCUUCCCACUGGGAGAUUUUGUUCAAUUUACAUCGCAAUUCAACAAAAG